rnacentral:rRNA from 1 species
GACGAACGCUGGCGGCGUGCUUAACACAUGCAAGUCGAACGGAAAGGCCCUGCUUUUGUGGGGUGCUCGAGUGGCGAACGGGUGAGUAACACGUGAGUAACCUGCCCUUGACUUUGGGAUAACUUCAGGAAACUGGGGCUAAUACCGGAUAGGAGCUCCUGCUGCCUGGUGGGGGUUGGAAAGUUUCGGCGGUUGGGGAUGGACUCGCGGCUUAUCAGCUUGUUGGUGGGGUAGUGGCUUACCAAGGCUUUGCCGGGUAGCCGGCCUGAGAGGGUGACCGGCCACAAUGGGACUGAGAUACGGCCCAGACUCCUACGGGAGGCAGCAGUGGGGAAGAUUGCACAAUGGGCGGAAGCCUGAUGCAGCAACGCCGCGUGCGGGAUGACGGCCUUCGGGUUGGAAACCGCUUUCGCCUGUGACGAAGCGUGAGUGACGGUAAUGGGUAAAGAAGCACCGGCUAACUACGUG